UACGUAGGGGGCAAGCGUUGUCCGGAUUUAUUGGGCGUAAAGAGCUCGUUGGUGGUUCGGUAAGUCGGAUGUGAAAUCUCCAGGCUCAACCUGGAGGGGUCAUUCGAUACUGCCGUGACUAGAGUUCGGUAGGGGAGUGUGGAAUUCCUGGUGGAGCGGUGAAAUGCGCAGAUAUCAGGAGGAACACCCGUAGCGAAGGCGGCACUCUGGGCCGAUACUGACACUGAGGAGCGAAAGCGUGGGGAGCGAACAGG
rnacentral:rRNA from 1 species